AACGAACGCUGGCGGCAGGCCUAACACAUGCAAGUCGAACGGCAGCACAGAGGAGCUUGCUCCUUGGGUGGCGAGUGGCGGACGGGUGAGGAAUACAUCGGAAUCUACUCUGUCGUGGGGGAUAACGUAGGGAAACUUACGCUAAUACCGCAUACGACCUACGGGUGAAAGCAGGGGACCUUCGGGCCUUGCGCGAUUGAAUGAGCCGAUGUCGGAUUAGCUAGUUGGCGGGGUAAAGGCCCACCAAGGCGACGAUCCGUAGCUGGUCUGAGAGGAUGAUCAGCCACACUGGAACUGAGACACGGUCCAGACUCCUACGGGAGGCAGCAGUGGGGAAUAUUGGACAAUGGGCGCAAGCCUGAUCCAGCCAUACCGCGUGGGUGAAGAAGGCCUUCGGGUUGUAAAGCCCUUUUGUUGGGAAAGAAAUCCAGCUGGCUAAUACCCGGUUGGGAUGACGGUACCCAAAGAAUAAGCACCGGCUAACUUCGUGCCAGCCGCCGCAGUAA
rnacentral:rRNA from 1 species